UUGUGCUGUCCUCCUCGUAAUGGUGGCAAAUAAGUAAGAAGAGAGCAAGCUAUCUUCAGAUAAAUUCAAUCUGAGAUUCUCCCAGGAGGUGGAAGAAAGGGCUCCCUUCUGCUGAACAAGAGAAACCUCCAUGUCGAGCUAAUUGUGCUGACUGGGAGUCGGACAAAAUGGAAGGAUCUGAAAAAAAAAAAAAAAACUGCCACCAUUACCUCCUAAAAAGGCUCUCUCUUGUUUGCUUGUACUCUGAAGACAAAACUAUCAGUGGAGGAGCGGUGAAGACUCCCAGCAGAAGCACUCCCGGGUGCUUUAUUUUAAAACAGACUGGUGAAUGUCUGCAAAGCAGACAGAGAAGGUUUUCCUUUGAAAUCUCAGUGUUCCCUUGCAUUAACUUCCGUUGAGGAAGCCAUUGUUCUCUGUGCUAGGGCGCCUGUAGAAUGGACACUGUAAAAGAUCUUUUGCUCUUUGAGACUUUUCAUGCAAAUGAGUUGAAUUAUUGUCUCACAUGAGAGUUCUUUAGUUUCAGCCUGUGCCUGUGCCAUGAUGCACGCGUUGCAGCGCGUCUCGGCCCAGGUUUGGGAAGACCUAUGCAGUCGGCAGAUUUUGCCAACCACAGCAUCUUGUUUGCCAGUGUUACAAGAUGAUGAAAUUGAAACUCUCAUCCUCUUGGAGCCAGAGAACAAUGCCACCCAACACACUCUGUGUGUUGAGUUUCACCCUUGCCUGGACUUGAUUUCAUUUGAGAGGAAGCCUUUUCCUUCUUCUGAAGAUCCCACUGUUCAGACCGACAAGAGGCAAAUGUGAAUGAUGAGGAAACAGCCAAAUGAUGGAGACUUGCUGGCUCUACCUGGGAUGCUGACAGUGAAAAAAACAUGAAGUUAUGACUUCAAAGAGUUCUAGGAAAAGGAAGAGAUGGGGUUGUCUUACAUUUGCCAUCCAUCCUUCUGUAGAAGAUGUGGAUCGCCCAUAGCUCUUCAGCCCACAGAAGCUUCCUCAGACCUAUGAGAGACAGGUCCCCUGUGUCCAAUGCCUUCUGUUUUUGUUUGAUUUUAGUUUUUGAGACAGGGUUUCAUGUAGCCUGGGCCAUCCUCAAAUUUGCUAUGUAGCCAAGGAUGACCCUCUUGUCUCCAUCUCACAAAUGCUGGAAUUGUGCACACACCCUUACACCCAGCUUGUGGAAUUCUGGGAGUCAAAUCAUGGGCUUCACAAGUGCUAGUGCUCUACCUGCCCAGUGACGGCACCACCCACAGUGGACUGGGCUUUUCCGCCUCAAUCAUCAAUCAAGAUAACCACCCGAGGGCUUGCCCACUGGCCAACCUGAUAGAGAUAAUCCUGUAAAUCAAGCUGACAAAAACCCUACCAACAGGGAAGUAAACAAAGAUGGGUACUAUUUCUUGUCUUUUAGAGACUCAUGCCAAAAUAUCUGCAGAUGAAACAACCUGGUCUGAGUUUUUGCUUCAAAAUAAUUUGGGGGGAUAAAGGGAAGCAGGGAGUCCGGCAUGUUGCCUUGAGUCCAUUAUUGAUGAAGCUGGGUGAUAAUACAUGAAAUCUCGACAUAAUGUGCUUUAGAAUUUUAUAUGUGUUUGACAUUUUCCAUCAUUCAAAAACACUUUCAAGCCUGGCAUGGUGGUCCCUGCCUGCAGUCCCAGCUAUGGAAGAAGCUUGAGGCCAGGAGUCCAGGGCUCCAGGGCUCCAGGGCUCCAUUCAACUUAGGCAGCAUAGUUAAGACUUCGUCUCAAACAAACAAAAGCCCUGGGGAUGGUGGUUGGAAUGAGAAAUGUCCUCUAUAGGCUUGUGAAUUCGAAUACCUGGUCCCCGGUGGGUUGUGCUGUUUGGGGAGGUUAAAGGAAGGAAGUGUAAGCAGGUAGAGCCUUGCUGGAGGAAUGAUGUCACUGGAGACAGGCUUUGAGUUUAUAGCUUGACCUCACUUUCAAUUUGUUCUUUCUGUUUGUAGGGAGAGAUGUGCUCUCUAGGACUCUUGCUUUGGCUGCCUGCUGCCACGUCUCCCUGCCAUUACAGACUGUCCCUCUGUGAGCUCAAGGCUUCUUCCUAUAAAUAGUUUUUUGGUCAUGGUGUCCACGGCCACAGCAACAGGAAAUCAGUGAUUCGACGAUGCAUGGAGCCAAGCAUGGUAUGAAAAGCUCCUCCAGAGGCAGAAGCCUCCAAGUCCCCCCUGCACGCCGCUCGCCUUUGGCCUGGCUUCUAAAACAAUGCUUCUAGUCUGGAUAUGUCUACAAAGGGCUUCAAAAUGUGGCUUCUUCUUCCUCCUGAACCACAGCAGAGAACACAGAAGGCUGUCUUUUUGUGAACAGUGACCAGAAAGAACAAGAAUCCUGGUUGUCAGGAGAGGCACUGGGAACUUCCAGCCAAAGAUUGCUAUGGAGAAGGACGCUGGGAGCCUUGGCUACAAUGGAUGAUCCGUGUUUGCAUUCUCUACUCACUUUUUGAAAUUUAGACCCAAGUACAGGAACUGUGGCCUAGUACAUGUGUCUCUAAUAUGUAACCACAUUUUCCCUUUCCAAAAAAAAAUCUUUCCCAAACUUGUAUUAAUACUAAGUCCUCACAGGGCAGCUUAGUAAUAACUAUCAAAUACUUAUCAUAACUACAAAUAGCAAAUUAAAUAUAUUUAUUGAAACUACAA